AGUGAACGCUGGCGGUAGGCCUAACACAUGCAAGUCGAACGGCAGCACAGUAAGAGCUUGCUCUUACGGGUGGCGAGUGGCGGACGGGUGAGGAAUACAUCGGAAUCUACUUUUUCGUGGGGGAUAACGUAGGGAAACUUACGCUAAUACCGCAUACGACCUACGGGUGAAAGCAGGGGAUCUUCGGACCUUGCGCGAUUGAAUGAGCCGAUGUCGGAUUAGCUAGUUGGCGGGGUAAAGGCCCACCAAGGCGACGAUCCGUAGCUGGUCUGAGAGGAUGAUCAGCCACAGGGGAACUGAGACACGGCCAAGCCUCCUCCGGGAGGCAGCAGUGGGGAAUAUUGGACAAUGGGCGCAAGCCUGACCGAGCAAUCCCGCGGGGGUAAAGAAGGCCUUGGGAUUGUAAACCCUUUUUGUGGGGAAAGAAAAACAGCGGUUUAAACCCCCCCUGUCCUGACGGUACCAAAAAAAAAAGCACCGGCUAACUUCGUG
rnacentral:rRNA from 1 species